rnacentral:rRNA from 1 species
UACGGAGGGAGCUAGCGUUGUUCGGAUAUACUGGGCGUAAAGCGCACGUAGGCGGCGCCGUAAGUCAGGGGUGAAAUCCCGGAGCUCAACUCCGGAACUGCCCUUGAAACUGCAGUGCUAGAAUCUUGGAGAGGCGAGUGGAAUUCCGAGUGUAGAGGUGAAAUUCGUAGAUAUUCGGAAGAACACCAGUGGCGAAGGCGGGUUGCUGGGCUGACACUGACGCUGAAGCGCGAAAGCUAGGGGAGCGAACGGG